CUGCGGUCCAGGGACGCCGGCCUCCUGUGAAGCUGGAGUGUCUGUCUGCCCCCGCACGUGUUCGCCCCGCGGAGCAGGUCCUCGUAAGCUUCAAGAGAGCAAGACUUUGGUGGUUCAAACCCAGGCUCUGUCACUAGUUAGCUUUGUGUGCUUGGAUUGGAACCAGUCCAGUUGUCAUCUGAGAGGCUUCCUCCAUCAUGGAGGAGAUGGAGAUAGAACAACCACUGUCAGGUGGAAUACUAUGAGCUCCAGAUUCAGGAAGCCAAGACGGGAGUGUUGUGCCUGGGAAAAUUAGGACAACCCUGACUCAAAGAAACAAAAGAAACUGAAGCAAGAGGACAAACAGCAAAACAGCAUGCAUGUAAAACAGUCCCUGUCUGGAUGGACCUGCGCCUGCAGCGGGAAGUUCACUGGUCAAUUACCUGCUGACUGAAGCGGCCUAUUUUCUUCUGACCCCUGCCCCUCUCUUCCCCUCUCCGCCCUGAAAGCUGUUUGGCAUAGGGAGGUCUUGACCUGAGGAAACCAUUUUGGGUAACCAGGGCAAGGAAGGGGAAUAUGCAACACCUAGGAGAUUUCAGCAAACAGUAGAAUCAUGCCAACGUAAUCUGUGUUAAAAUGCUUGGAAUGUGGGAGCCGCUGGUGAUGUCUGUUGUCUGUGUGUCUCCAGGAAUCCUUUCUUUUUUAAGCGCAGCAAAGCCAAGCCUGGGAACCAGGCCAAGCGCCUGCCACUUACCUUAAAUUGAUCAGCCACUUUGAGAUUAAAACCCCUGAAAGCUGCCGCUCAGUGAAAGCAAGGCCUCUUUCACAUUAAAGGCAAAUUGCGACUGUGGGUUUGCUGUGAUCGCCCUCUCUCUCUCUCUCUCCUUUUUUCCCCCUAUUUUACCCGUUUUUUUCAGUGUGGACUUUUUUCUCUCUCCUCUUUCCAUUUAUGCUUCCAUGUAGAAGCCAAUAGUUAUAGCAUCUUAGCCAAGCAUUCAUUAAGGUUUAUAAGAACAAAAUUUAUGGUUAUUUAGAAGUUGGCACAGAGAUCAAUUGUUGCUAGAAAAAAAAAAGAAAGAAAGAAAGAAAGAAACACAGGUGGCAAAUACAACCCUAACAAAGGCCGGUACUAUAGAGCAGUAUGCUAGGCCCCUAGCAGCAGUCUGAGGGAAAUGAAAUACUAUUAGAAAAUACUUUCUCCACUGUUCUGGGUCUUUUCGUUUUAUGGCUCUGUAGGUUUUGGGAACAAGUAUUCUGAUGAAUCCAGGAGUUUUGGCUUUUUUGUCUUGGGUAAAUGCUGCUGAUCUCAAUAGCUGAAGGUUGUAGAAAUCAAUACUGUGUGGGGUGAUACUCCACUGGAUAAGGUAUAAUUCAUGUAUUCAUACGUCUUGUACAUCUACAUACACAAUGCAUAGGUAUGAUUAGACCCAGGCCUGACCCCUGAAAAGCCUCAGGGUCUUCUUAAGUAGACCAUACAUAAUGGCAAGUUCUGUGUACCCCAAAAUGUAGCACAAGAAAUACACCCCCUUAAUCUCUGAAUUCAGGUAGUGAUGGGAAACUGAGCUGUGAUCUGGAAGCCUACAGUUUUCCUCAUGAGGAACUUAGGACUUAGGUGUUUUCUUCCUUUUGAAAAAUGGUUUCUCUGAUGUCCUUCAGUAGGGGAUUAAGACGCUACCUUGGGCUUUUCUUUUUGACAAUGUUUGUAAAACAUUUUACAAGUAUUUUUUUUUAUUUCUACUAAUUGUUCAAGAGCAACUGGACUCACUGAAAGCUUUCUUGUUUCAUGGAGUAAACAAUUCUCAAAACAUUAUUCUUUUUGUUCAACCACAAACCCAUUCUUGGGCUCAGGGCGAUAAUGACUUUCUAUGUCCAGUCAUUCACCUAGGACUGUUCACAUCACUUGUCACAGCGCUUUUUUUUUUUUUUGCCACCAUCUUGCACACACUGGGGGCAUUUGUGCCUUUCUCCCCAUGACAUUAAGUUCAGCUCUUCUGCUAACUCAGUUCGGAAAACCUUUCACCUCGUUCUUUUUAUUCUCUGAGAUCUGCAUCACCUCUGCAUGGACGCAGAGUUUGCGGACUUGCUGUCUUUACCUUUCACUCUGGGAGUGACCCAUUGAAGCACUCUUUCCCUCAAAUGCACACACCUGAACUCUCCAAGAGCAGAGCUCCCGACCUCUGUUAUUUCCCAGCCACAGUUACUACAACCUUCUGUUCCGACGAGAUGCUCAUUAAGUCUAGACAACAGAAUAUGAACAGAAUCCUGAACCAUAUUCUUCCACAAAAACUCCAAGUAAGGUUCCAUUCACAGACACUAAAAAGCAUUUCUUGAGGAGCCUGUGUAGAAGCUGUAAGAAGUAAUUUCUCCAUUUUGUAGAGAGCCAGAGCCUUGGUAGAAGGAAGUGCAAUCCAAGUUAGGGGGGUAAUCUGCUUCUGGUCUGUUUCUGCCUUUUAAAUCUAGUUUGCCUGAAGCUUUGCUGCUUAAAUUUCUGUCACAUCGGAUAGACUUUUAUUUUAACUACUAAUUUUAACUUAACCUCCAAGUCUUCACAUUUUGUAUUUCAUAUUCUGGUUCCUUGGUAUUUUGUCGGUAAUCAAGAUUUCAUGGAGGGCCUGGGUACACUUAAUGCCGUCCAAGGAUAACAGGAAAUUCUCUUUAUAUCAAGAAGUAGUUGGCAAGAAAACACAAAAGGAACAACUAUAGCAGAGGUUUACUUUGUAUUUUGUUGUGUGGGUUAAUGAUCUGAGGGCGACUGAAGAGAAUCAUAAUAGAGUACUCUUUUACAAUGAAGCACUCAGUAUAUCAAUUCAGGGUCUGCCUCAAAGCAGUCACAGACUGUACACCUGGGUGGGGGCAGGAGAGGUUCUCUAAGGGAGGACAACGGUCUGAAUAAAGACACAGAGGUGAGGAUGAAAUGGGCAGCCCCCAGAUUCUGUUUGUACAGAAGUGGUAGUGUGUGUGUGUGUGUGUGUGUGUGUGUGUGUGUG
rnacentral:lncRNA from 1 species